rnacentral:rRNA from 1 species
GACGAACGCUGGCGGUGUGCUUAACACAUGCAAGUCGAGCGGUAAGGCCCUUUCGGGGGUACACGAGCGGCGAACGGGUGAGUAACACGUGGGUGACCUGCCCUCAGCUCUGGGAUAAGCCUGGGAAACCGGGUCUAAUACUGGAUAUGACUCCAUGACGCAUGUUGUGGGGUGGAAAGCCUUGUGCGGCUGAGGAUGGGCCCGCGGCCUAUCAGCUUGUUGGUGGGGUGANGGCCUACCAAGGCGACGACGGGUAGCCGGCCUGAGAGGGCGACCGGCCACACUGGGACUGAGACACGGCCCAGACUCCUACGGGAGGCAGCAGUGGGGAAUCUUGCGCAAUGGGCGAAAGCCUGGCGCAGCGACGCCGCGUGAGGGAUGACGGCCU